AACAGCUUCUACUGCUUUUGUGAUGUAGAUCUGUUGAUCGGAGCUCUCUUUCUCCCAUUUAGCAUGGGGUCAUAAGUCUCAUACAUUUAGGUUUUGCUUAUCUUUUUUUUUUUUAAAUUCUAUUAUUUAUUUGUUUUUGGUU